AUUGAACGCUGGCGGAAUGCUUUACACAUGCAAGUCGAACGGCAGCACGGACUUCGGUCUGGUGGCGAGUGGCGAACGGGUGAGUAAUGUAUCGGAACGUGCCCAGUCGUGGGGGAUAACGUAGUGAAAAUUACGCUAACACCGCAUACGAUCUAUGGUUGAAAGCGGGGGAUCGCAAGACCUCGCGCGAUUGGAGCGGCCGAUAUUAGAUUAGGUAGUUGGUGGGGUAAAGGCCCACCAAGCCAACGAUCUGUAGCUGGUCCGAGAGGACGACCAGCCGCACUGGAACUGAGACAAGGCCCAGACUCCUACGGGAGGCAGCAGUGGGGAAUUUUGGACAAUGGGCGAAAGCCUGGUCCAGCCAUUCCGCGUGCAGGAUGAAGGCCCUCGGGUUGUAAACUGCUUUUGUACAGAACGAAAAGGUUUCUACUAAUACUAGGAGCUCAUGACGGUACUGUAAGAAUAAGCACCGGCUAACUACGUGCCAGCCGCCGCCGUAA
rnacentral:rRNA from 1 species